CACGUAGGCACCAAGCGUUGUCCGGAUUUAUUGGGCGUAAAGAGCUCGUAGGCGGUUCAGUAAGUCAGGUGUGAAAUCUUUGGGCUUAACCCAAAGCGUGCAUUUGAUACUGCUGUGACUUGAGUUCGGUAGGGGAGUGGGGAAUUCCUAGUGUAGCGGUGAAAUGCGCAGAUAUUAGGAGGAACACCAAUGGCGAAGGCAGCUCGCUGGGACGGUACUGACGCUGAGGCGCGAAAGCGUGGGGAGCAAACAGG
rnacentral:rRNA from 1 species